AUGAAACUGGAAGAGAUCUUGAAAGAGUUUAAUAGAGGUUGCUGUGAUGUGACCAUCUUGGACCUACAAGUCGGCGCUUUCAGACGGUUCCCCACUGAGCGCAUCCCUUUGGUGUCGGCAUCUCUCUGCACUACAGUGAAACAUGUGCUGGGGUGCGCUUCACUGGCCCCCCUUUUCCAAGUGAGGUCUUGGAGACUGGGCAGACCGUGGGACGGCCCCGGGGAUUCGCCGGAAGCCCAGGCUCGGCUGCAGGACUGGGCGGUGAUGGGGAUACAGUUUGACUCCCCUCACUGGAGAGAGGGGCUGCAGGCUCAGAGCCUGAAGCCAGCAGAAGGUGAUUGUCGCCCAAACCUCAGUAACUCAGGACGAGGGACACAGGCCUUGAGUCGUCCUCCCCGGGCAAGUCUCCCUGAGCCGUUGGCCAGCUGGACACGCCCCCUCGUGCAGAUACGGUCAGUGUGCUAGAGCAGCAGCUAUCCAAAUUACAAACCCCCACCAACGGGACUGGAGGUGGAUUUCUGUGACCUAGUCCUUGCUCCUGUACCUGCUGAUUCGGAGCGUCUCGUGCAGCUGUGUGCUGGAGCCAGCUCGUACUGGGCACAAGAGCCAACGUUUGAGUUUUCAGGAAUCCCGUGAGCUGGUUGUUAGACACAGCCAUCACGAAAACUUGAAUUACAUAAACUUAGAAUUUAAUCCAUUGUAUUAAAACAAAGAUAAUAAUUACUCAAAACUCAUCGCUUCCUAAUUAUUUCACUGUUAUCUAUGCUCUUGAGGACGUUUACGUCUAUUGCGUCUGUGUGAUAGAAAUAGUACGUAAGGAGUUACUCCCACCUCCUCCCAGCUCCACCUCAAUGACGUCACGUUGGUAGCUCGAAAUCAGCCACAGUGGGAAUAUUUAUACCACAGAAAUCCACAUACUCCACAGGUCAGUUCUCCCCACCCAGGCAAUUGAACAUUUACCCUUUCAACACUGAUUGUCAUCACGGAAGAACAUGACAAUAAGUCUACUUUACAAUGUCAUAUUCUAAGAGUCUUCUUUGCAGAGUACAGACAAGUAUCUAGACAUUUUUGCAAAUACUUGCUCCGGGGGCACCAGUCUGAUUCCCUGAAGCGUUUCUUCCUCCUUAACCGUAAAGAGAUGCAGCUCCCAUCCCGCUCCACCACCGAGCAGCCGGGAGCCCUGAGCACGUCCCUUCAUAUUACAGCUCUCAAUUAUCUCAUCUGUAAAAGAAAGAUGGUAACACCUAUCUCACCGUGUGCUCGUCAAGUGCAAGUGCGAGAAGGAGCAUGCAAACCGUGAGAUGCUGUUUAAAGUGAUAAUUGUCUGUUAAAAUCUAUCUUCUAACAAAGGUGAAAAGCAAAGGGCACGGGAUUGGCCAGGAGCCGAGAAGGAGGGCUCCCAGUCCUCGGGGGGUUCCAGGCCAGCUGACCCCCCUGGAUGGGCCCCCACCCCUCACAGCCCAGC
rnacentral:lncRNA from 1 species